GCCCCUGUAGCGCAGUGGUAGCGCAGCAGUUUCGUAAACUGUUGGUCGAGAGUUCAAGUCUCUCCAGGGGCU
rnacentral:tRNA from 1 species